rnacentral:lncRNA from 1 species
GAAUUCCGAUUCAUUUUAUUUGACCAUCAAUGUGUUGGUGGUUGGCAUGGAGCCAAGUAUCUCUAAAUUGCGGCAUGUAGAUUUGUUUCACUGUCACCUGUCACAUAGAUGCGUGCUUGAUGUUUGUCAUUUUCUGAAUAUUGAUUGGCGUGGAGUUGGUAUAUGUAUGAUUCUGUUGCCCGUAAGCCGAGAUUUACUGUCUCAGUACCGGAUCCCGUACCAGUACCAUUCUAUUACUUUAUCUGAUAUGGUAUGGAUCUGAUUUGGUGUACUUUCAUACCAUAU